AGUAGUUUGAUCAGUGGCUCGAGACGAACGCUGGCGGCGUGCCUAACACAUGCAAGUCGAGCGGAGACAUACGACGGAUAGGAAGUUUUCGGAUGGAAUUGAAGAUGUAUGUUUUAGCGGCGGACGGGUGAGUAACGCGUGAACAAUCUGUCCUUCACAGGGGGAUAACACAGCGAAAGUUGUACUAAUACCGCAUAAGACCACGCUGAGGCAUCUCAGAGGGGUCAAAGGAGAAUCCGGUGGAGGGUGAGUUCGCGUCCGAUUAGAUAGUAGGUGAGGUAACGGCCCACCUAGUCGACGAUCGGUAGCCGACCUGAGAGGGUGAUCGGCCACAUUGGGACUGAGACACGGCCCAAACUCC
rnacentral:rRNA from 1 species